rnacentral:rRNA from 1 species
UGCAGUCGAGCGGUAGCACAGAGAGCUUGCUCUCGGGUGACGAGCGGCGGACGGGUGAGUAAUGUCUGGGAAACUGCCUGAUGGAGGGGGAUAACUACUGGAAACGGUAGCUAAUACCGCAUAACGUCGCAAGACCAAAGUGGGGGACCUUCGGGCCUCAUGCCAUCAGAUGUGCCCAGAUGGGAUUAGCUGGUAGGUGGGGUAACGGCUCACCUAGGCGACGAUCCCUAGCUGGUCUGAGAGGAUGACCAGCCACACUGGAACUGAGACACGGUCCAGACUCCUACGGGAGGCAGCAGUGGGGAAUAUUGCACAAUGGGCGCAAGCCUGAUGCAGCCAUGCCGCGUGUGUGAAGAAGGCCUUCGGGUUGUAAAGCACUUUCAGCGGGGAGGAAGGCGAUAAGGUUAAUAACCUUGUCGAUUGACGUUACCCGCAGAAGAAGCACCGGCUAACUCCGUGCCAGCAGCCGCGGUAAUACGGAGGGUGCAAGCGUUAAUCGGAAUUACUGGGCGUAAAGCGCACGCAGGCGGUCUGUCAAGUCGGAUGUGAAAUCCCCGGGCUCAACCUGGGAACUGCAUUCGAAACUGGCAGGCUAGAGUCUUGUAGAGGGGGGUAGAAUUCCAGGUGUAGCGGUGAAAUGCGUAGAGAUCUGGAGGAAUACCGGUGGCGAAGGCGGCCCCCUGGACAAAGACUGACGCUCAGGUGCGAAAGCGUGGGGAGCAAACAGGAUUAGAUACCCUGGUAGUCCACGCUGUAAACGAUGUCGAUUUGGAGGUUGUGCCCUUGAGGCGUGGCUUCCGGAGCUAACGCGUUAAAUCGACCGCCUGGGGAGUACGGCCGCAAGGUUAAAACUCAAAUGAAUUGACGGGGGCCCGCACAAGCGGUGGAGCAUGUGGUUUAAUUCGAUGCAACGCGAAGAACCUUACCUGGUCUUGACAUCCACAGAACUUUCCAGAGAUGGAUUGGUGCCUUCGGGAACUGUGAGACAGGUGCUGCAUGGCUGUCGUCAGCUCGUGUUGUGAAAUGUUGGGUUAAGUCCCGCAACGAGCGCAACCCUUAUCCUUUGUUGCCAGCGGUUAGGCCGGGAACUCAAAGGAGACUGCCAGUGAUAAACUGGAGGAAGGUGGGGAUGACGUCAAGUCAUCAUGGCCCUUACGACCAGGGCUACACACGUGCUACAAUGGCAUAUACAAAGAGAAGCGACCUCGCGAGAGCAAGCGGACCUCAUAAAGUAUGUCGUAGUCCGGAUUGGAGUCUGCAACUCGACUCCAUGAAGUCGGAAUCGCUAGUAAUCGUAGAUCAGAAUGCUACGGUGAAUACGUUCCCGGGCCUUGUACACACCGCCCGUCACACCAUGGGAGUGGGUUGCAAAAGAAGUAGGUAGCUUAAC